AUUGAACGCUGGCGGCAGGCCUAACACAUGCAAGUCGAGCGAGCGGCGGACGGGUGAGUAAUGUAUGGGGAUCUGUCCGAUAGAGGGGGAUAACUACUGGAAACGGUGGCUAAUACCGCAUACUAUCGGAUGUAUCCAGAUGGGACUAGCUAGUGGGUGGGUGAAAGGCUCACCUAGGCGACGAUCCCUAGCUGGUCUGAGAGGAUGAUCAGCAACACUGUGACUGGGACAAGGACCAAACUCCUACGGGAGGCAGCAGUGGGGAAUAUUGCACAAUGGGCGGAAGCGUGAUGCAGCCAUGCCGCGUGUAUGAAGAAGGCCAUAGGGUUGUAAAGUACGUUCAGCGGGGAGGCGUUACCCGCAGAAGAAGCACCGGCUAACUCCGUGCCAGCAGCCGCGGUAAUAC
rnacentral:rRNA from 1 species